rnacentral:lncRNA from 13 species
GGUGGAUCUCAAUGGUGACCCAACUCAACACCCUUGAAGGUCCAGAGUCAGAGAGUCAGAACAUCCGUCUGAGCUUUGCAGAGUUACUUGGCGACAAGUACCACUACGCGAAUGCCAUCGACAGUCUGCUGCAGGCCUAGUGUCUCAUGUUCUGUCCACCAGUGUUUCCAUCGUGGAGAAUGACCUGAUCCAGUCUGCUGCAGGCCUAGUGUCUCAGGUUCUGUCUACCAGUGUUGCCAUCGUGGAGAAUGACCUGAUCCAGUCUGCUGCAGGCCUAGUGUCUCAGAUUCUGUCUGCCAGUGUUUCCAUCGUGGAGAAUGAACUGAUCCAGUCUGCUGUAGGCCUAGUGUCUCAGGUUCUGUCCACCAGUGUUUCCAUCGUGGAGAAUGACCUGAUCCAGUCUGCUGCAGGCCCAGUGUCUCAGAUUCUGUCCACCAGUGUUUCCAUCGUGGAGAAUGACCUGAUCCAGUCUGCUACAAACCUAAUGUCUCAGGAUAAUGACUCCACACUGAGAGACUCCAACCAACCUGAGAUCCACGUGGAUGAUGUCUCAACCAAGAGAAGUAGACUUACCAUCACUAUUUCUAUGGUUUCAACCAAGAGUUGCCUUGUUGCUUUACAUGAUGUUGAUGCUAGUGCUACAAGCCUGGAGCAAUCUGCCGAGAAAAUGUCUACCUCUACUAAUGAUGUCAACGACAUCUCAACUGCGGCUGCCAAGAAGAAGAGGUGUAGAUUAUUCUCAUUUGUCUGGAGAGCUCUCUGGGGGAAGAACAAGAAGCCUCUAAGAUAA